CUCAAGCCCUCUCGCUGCUCCUGCUGCAAUCUUCAUUCUUGUGUCCCAAUCCAACGGCUUCUUCUUGUUCCGCGUCAAUUCUGAAGUAAAUAGGUAAACUUUAGAAUGUGUGGAUGUGAAAGUACGUAGUUAUUAUGGUGUUUAGAUUUAUGUUACCUAGAAGAUGAUCCUCUAAAGAACCAUUUUGCAUAUAUUCGUAGACGAGAAUCCGUUGAUCGCCGUCUGCGCAGUAUCCGACCAAAUUGACAAGGUUUUGAUGAUGUAAGAGACUCAACAUCAUGACCUCCACAAGAAACUCUCUGUUCCCUUGGUAACCAUUCCUGUCUAGCUGCUUAACCGCAACAACCUAAACAUGAAAGAAUCUGAAUCAAACCUCUGAAUAGAAUAUGAAGGAGAUGAGGUGUUAUUUAGGAGAAUGCUGGUAGUAGAAG
rnacentral:lncRNA from 1 species